CAGCCGCCGCGGGAAUACGUAGGUGGCUAGCGUUGUCCGGAAUUAUUGGGCGUAAAGCGCGCGCAGGUGGUUUAAUAAGUCUGAUGUGAAAGCCCACGGCUCAACCGUGGAGGGUCAUUGGAAACUGUUAAACUUGAGUGCAGGAGAGAAAAGUGGAAUUCCUAGUGUAGCGGUGAAAUGCGUAGAGAUUAGGAGGAACACCAGUGGCGAAGGCGGCUUUUCGGCCUGUAACUGACACUGAGGCGCGAAAGCGUGGGGAGCAAACAGGAUUAGAUACCCCAGUAGUCCCUGUCUCUUAUAC
rnacentral:rRNA from 1 species